GACGAACGCUGGCGGCGUGCUUAACACAUGCAAGUCGAGCGGUAAGGCCCUUUCGGGGUACGACGAGCGGCGAACGGGUGAGUAACACGUGGGUGACCUGCCCUCAGCUCUGGGAUAAGCCUGGGAAACUGGGUCUAAUACCAGAUAUGACUCCAUGACGCAUGUUGUGGGGUGGAAAGCCUUGUGCGGCUGAGGAUGGGCCCGCGGCCUAUCAGCUUGUUGGUGGGGUGANGGCCUACCAAGGCGACGACGGGUAGCCGGCCUGAGAGGGCGACCGGCCGACACUGGGACUGAGACACGGCCCAGACUCCUACGGGAGGCAG
rnacentral:rRNA from 1 species